rnacentral:rRNA from 1 species
AGCGAACGUUUGCGGCGGGCUUAACACAUGCAAGUCGAACGAGAAUCCCUUCGGGGAGGAAAGUGGCGCACGGGUGCGUAACACGUGGAUAACCAACCCAUUGGUUUGGGACAACACCGGGAAACUGGUGCUAAUACCAGAUGUGUCGCAGCUGUCUUCAGGCGGUUGCGAGAAAGGCCCGCAAGGGUCGCCAACGGACGGGUCCGCGUCCCAUCAGCUAGUUGGUGAGGUAAUGGCUCACCAAGGCAAAGACGGGUAGCUGGUCUGAGAGGAUGAUCAGCCACACUGGGACUGCGACACGGCCCAGACUCCUACGGGAGGCAGCAGCUAGGAAUAUUGGACAAUGGGGGAAACCCUGAUCCAGCGACGCCGCGUGAGUGAUGAAGGUCUUCGGACUGUAAACUACUGUCAGCUGGGAAGAAAGGUUUCCGGUAAUAACCAGAAACCAUGACGGUACCAGCAGAGGAAGCCACAGCUAACUCUGUGCCAGCAGCCG